UACAGGGGGUGCAAACGUUGCUCGGAAUCAUUGGGCGUAAAGCGCACGUAGGCGGUUCGUUAUGUCGGAUGUGAAAGCCCUUGGCUUAACCGAGGAAGUGCAUCCGAAACUGGCGAGCUAGAGUACUAAAGAGGAUCGCGGAAUUCCCGGUGUAGAGGUGAAAUUCGUAGAUAUCGGAAGGAACGCCGGUGGCGAAAGCGGCGUGCUGGCCCUCUUCUGACGCUGAGGCGCGAAAGCCAGGGGAGCGGAACGGG
rnacentral:rRNA from 1 species